GUGGAGGUGAUGAUUAUUUCCCCAGAUGAUCGAAGCUGAACAAACUGUGCGAUUUUAUUCUCAUUUUCAUGAGAGUUCAAGCCAGAAAUCUGAUCCAU
rnacentral:snoRNA from 2 species